rnacentral:rRNA from 1 species
UACGUAGGGUGCGAGCGUUGUCCGGAAUUAUUGGGCGUAAAGAGCUCGUAGGCGGUUUGUCGCGUCUGCUGUGAAAACCGGAGGCUCAACCUCCGGCCUGCAGUGGGUACGGCAAACUAGAGUGCGGUAGGGGAGAUCGGAAUUCCUGGUGUAGCGGUGAAAUGCGCAGAUAUCAGGAGGAACACCGGUGGCGAAGGCGGAUCUCUGGGCCGAUACUGACGCUGAGGAGCGAAAGCGUGGGGAGCGAACAGG